ACUUAACGUUGGUUCGUGUUUGACGUACUGUCACGUUGCUCUUGAAGUCCUGAUCACCUAUCCAGUAACCAUUCUAGGGUGACAUUGUAGCACGUGUAGAAGAGAAAUUAAGGAAAAUUGCUGUCCUAUGGAUUAGUUACUGAAAAUAAAGGAAAUGGAAAAUCAUACAGUGGAACAAGAACGAAUAUGUCAACCGAAGAAACUGCAAUUUCCGGCUGCAAGACUUGAAGCACCCCCACGGCAUCUCAGUGAUGGAUGUUCUUUCGUAACCAACCCCUCUUCAAUACAGUGCUCGUCUGACCAAGCAGUGUAUAUGUCAUUGCAGUGAAGUGUUUGCCAUCUCCAGCGUUUGGAAGGAUUUGUACUAGUUACAGCUCUCCGUUGGGCCCAAAACUUUGAUUAUCGACUACUGACACUUAGAGAAAAUUAUUCUGGAUGAUGAGGAAGGCCAUCAUACUAUGAGAGCUCUCCGUUGGGCCCAAAACUUUGAUUAUCGACUACUGACACUUUGUGAAAAUUAUUCUGGAUGAUGAGGAAGGCCAUCAUACUAUGAGAGGAACAAGCGCAGCAGUGAUCUCAUUUCGUAAUUGCAAGAAUGAGAUGAGGCCAAACAGCAUUCGAUAAUGAUCGACCUGGCUGCAGAAUACGAUAGAAGAGCCUCAUGUUAGCAUUCGCAUUUCGUCAGUGUCCAUUUUACGAGUAGAAGUUCACGCUAACGAAGGCUUGUGUUUGGCACUGUAUAGGAUUCUGGGCUACACAAGCAAUGUCAACUUACGCGCUGCCGCAGAUUCCUUCAUCAUACGUUCCUCAAAAGAAGGAGACGCGAAUCGUUCUCCUCGUCAGCCGGGCCGCGACUCCUGGGACCCCGAAAGCAGCGGAGUCCGGGAGGACAAUCUGUAAUCAGAGAUAUGAACCAGAGCGAGCAAUCGCCCAAGAAAACUUUCGCUCCUCGAAAUUAAUUGAAUU